AGCUUUGCGCAGUGGCAGUAUCGUAGCCAAUGAGGUUUAUCCGAGGCGCGAUUAUUGCUAAUUGAAAGAAUAAAAGCACCACCUAAAGUACCACAUCCUAUUUGGAAUUAAAAUCUAAAUACUAUAUGUGAAAAAUGAAUUAU
rfam:Canis lupus familiaris chromosome 28, whole genome shotgun sequence.